CCCUUAGAUGUUCUGGGCCGCACGCGCGCUACACUGACUGGUGCAACAAGUGUCUGACCUUGGCUCGAGAGGCCUGGGCAACCUUUGAACGCCAGUCGUGCUGGGGAUAGAUUCUUGCAAUUAUUAAUCUUCAACGAGGAAUUCCUAGUAAACGCAAGUCAUCAACUUGCAUUGAUUACGUCCCUGCCCUUUGUACACACCGCCCGUCGCACCUACCGAUUGAAUGGUCCGGUGAAGCCUCCGGAUUGGCGCGCACCUCGGUGCCGCCGAGAAGUUGGCUAAACCUUACCAUUUAGAGGAAGGUGAAGUCGUANCA
rnacentral:rRNA from 1 species